UACAGAGGGUGCGAGCGUUUGUUCGGAAUUACUGGGCGUAAAGCGCACGUAGGCGGAUAUUUUAAGUCAGGGGGUGAAAUCCCAGAGCUCAACUCUGGAACUGCCUUUUGAUACUGGGUAUCUUGAGUAUGGAAGAGGUAAGUGGAAUUGCGAGUGUAGAGGUGAAAUGCGUAGAUAUCAGGAGGAACACCUGUGGUGUAGACGGCUUUUCUG
rnacentral:rRNA from 1 species